rnacentral:rRNA from 1 species
UACGUAGGGGGCAAGCGUUGUCCGGAUUUAUUGGGCGUAAAGAGCGUGUAGGCGGUUUGGUAGGUCCGCUGUGAAAACUCGAGGCUCAACCUCGAGACGCCGGUGGAAACCAUCAGACUAGAGUCCGGAAGAGGAGAGCGGAAUUCCUGGUGCAGCGGUGAAAUGCGCAGAUAUCAGGAAGAACACCCGUGGCUAAGGCGGCUCUCUAGUACGGUACUGACGCUGAGACGCGAAAGCGUGGGGAGCGAACAGG